GAAACGGGAGAAAUUGUUGUAUUAACAGCGCUGGAAUCAUGUUACAAUUAUCUUUGCUAUGUCUCAUCUUGAGUAUCUUUAAAGAGUCAAGUGGGGAGAUCGUUGUCACUCAGACCCCAGACACUUUACACAAAAAUCCUGGGGACAGAGUCGACAUUCAGUGCAAGACUUCCUCUUCUGUCAGCACUUAUAUGAACUUCUACCCAGUUUCUACCAGGACAAAAACCUAAGCUACUGAUUUAUUAUGCUACCAGCCGUUUUGAAGGGACCCCAGAUCGCUUCAGUGGAAGAGGAAGUGGCACUGACUUCACCUUCACUAUCAAUGGUGUGCGUCCUGAGGAUGAAGGGGAGUAUUACUGUGGCCAAGGCUACAGCUACCCUCUACACAGUGAUACACUUCAUGACAAAAACCUCCUUGAUAACUAUGACUGCAACAGUAGUUUGAAUUGA